UUUGGUGGCGAUGGCGGAGGGGUUCCACGCGUACCCAUCCCGAACACGACCGUUAAGCCCUCCAGCGCCGAUGGUACUUGGACCGCAGGGUUCCGGGAGAGUAGGACGUCGCCAAGC
rnacentral:rRNA from 1 species